GACGAACGCUGGCGGCGUGCUUAACACAUGCAAGUCGAACGGAAAGGCCCUGCUUUUGUGGGGUGCUCGAGUGGCGAACGGGUGAGUAACACGUGAGUAACCUGCCCUUGACUUUGGGAUAACUUCAGGAAACUGGGGCUAAUACCGGAUAGGAGCUCCUGCUGCAUGGUGGGGGUUGGAAAGUUUCGGCGGUUGGGGAUGGACUCGCGGCUUAUCAGCUUGUUGGUGGGGUAGUGGCUUACCAAGGCUUUGACGGGUAGCCGGCCUGAGAGGGUGACCGGCCACAUUGGGAAUGAGAUACGGCCCAGACUCCUACGGGAGGCAGCAGUGGGGAAUAUUGCACAAUGGGCGGAAGCCUGAUGCAGCAACGCCGCGUGCGGGAUGACGGCCUUUGGGUUGUAAACCGCUUUCGCCUGUGACGAAGCGUGAGUGACGGUAAUGGGUAAAGAAGCAACGGCUAACUACGUG
rnacentral:rRNA from 1 species